rnacentral:rRNA from 1 species
AUUAGCUAGUAGGUGGGGUAACGGCUCACCUAGGCGACGAUCCCUAGCUGGUCUGAGAGGAUGACCAGCCACACUGGAACUGAGACACGGUCCAGACUCCUACGGGAGGCAGCAGUGGGGAAUAUUGCACAAUGGGCGCAAGCCUGAUGCAGCCAUGCCGCGUGUAUGAAGAAGGCCUUCGGGUUGUAAAGUACUUUCAGUGGGGAGGAAGGCAGUGAGGUUAAUAACCUUGCUGAUGACGUACCCGCAGAAGAA